CCAACAUUUACCCUCAUCUUCCUUAGCCAUUCCCCAAAUAGAGAGCAACAUAAGGUUGUCCCCUGCUCCACAUCUAAAUAAUUUUGAUUCUUCCCUAUGGUGAAAUUAUUCAUGUAAUUUUUCUCUAUGGUGAUUUGUGAUGGUGGCGUUCCCCUUGGGUCCUUGUGCAAACCUAGCGUGGAAUAACAUAGCCAGUGUGCAACAGAAAUCCUUAGUCCUUGAUGAGAUUGUCACAUGAAUUGCUAACAUUCACUCCAUUAAAAUGCUACAAUAACUCUUCUGUUAACUGGGGCCAAGUGAGCAAAGGAUGUCGACAUUGCAGCUCAUGAUAACAGAGGAGAGGGGCUCCCUCAAAGUGAUCCCAGACAAAAUAGCAUUUAACAUUUUCGCAGGUGUUGUAAAAAGUAAAAUAUUGCUCUAGCUUAGUAAUCCAACCUUGCGGAUUGGUUCAAUCAAAAUCAGGCAUUUCUAGGUGUUUGGCUGCCAUAGAAGUUUCAUCAAGCCAUUGAGCACGAGUUUCAAAUAUUAUAGGAGGGCAUAAAAAGAUUAAAAGCUCAUCACCCGGAUCCUUGGUUAUGCAUUGGAGAUCUCAAUGCCAUUAUGUCUGAAGAUGAAAAAUGGCGAGAUACUGGAGAUACAGAGCGUGAUCCCAGUAAACCCCAGUCCGGAUGAGAAUCAGAUCUGCGAGUGUCCUGUGUCACCUCUCAGCUACAGUGCAUUUGUGUGUUGCUUUUUGCCACGCGUAGGUUAUGGAGAGACCGACCGAGAGCCCAGUAGACCACAGACUAGGUGAGAUCUUCUGCAGCUUUGCAUAGUGUCCGUGUCACCUCACUGUCAUCAGUGCAUUGGUAGGACACUAGGUUUUAUUUUGGUAUUUUGUAAUUAACUUUUAUUUUCUCAUGUGUAAUUAAGACUUAUAUAAUGUAUCUUAGUAUUGAUGUAAAUUACGAAAAUUGUGUUUAUGAAUGAACAAGUGAAUAUUUAUUUAUGACUUUUA